rnacentral:snRNA from 1 species
AUGCUAACUUUCACAGGACAUAUACUAAAAUUGGCACAAUACAGAGAAUAUUAGCAUAGCCUCUACUCAAGGAUGACACACAAAUUAAUGAAAUGCUUUAUAUUUUA